UGGGGAAUAUUGGACAAUGGGCGCAAGCCUGAUCCAGCCAUGCCGCGUGAGUGAUGAAGGCCCUAGGGUUGUAAAGCUCUUUCAACGGUGAAGAUAAUGACGGUAACCGUAGAAGAAGCCCCGGCUAACUUCGUGCCAGCAGCCGCGGUAAUACGAAGGGGGCUAGCGUUGUUCGGAAUUACUGGGCGUAAAGCGCACGUAGGCGGAUACUUAAGUUAGGGGUGAAAUCCCGAGGCUCAACCUCGGAACUGCCUCUGAUACUGGGUAUCUCGAGUAUGGUAGAGGUGAGGGGAAUUCCGAGUGUAGAGGUGAAAUUCGUAGAUAUUCGGAGGAACACCAGUGGCGAAGGCGGCUCACUGGACCAUUACUGACGCUGAGGUGCGAAAGCGUGGGGAGCAAACA
rnacentral:rRNA from 1 species